rnacentral:tRNA from 1 species
GCGCGAGUGGUGAAAUUGGUAUACACGUAUGCCUUAGGAGCAUAUGCCUUCGGGCGUGCUGGUUCAAGUCCAGUCUCGCGCACCA